UGCUUCCCUCCAUUAGCACCUGGAGCUCGCCUCCCUGCCCAGAGAAACAGGGAACUCCUGGAGUUGGUUGAAUUCUUGGAUAUGGAACCCACAGAUUUGGAGAGCCAACAGUACCUCUUCUGGUAUCGACUGCUGUCACUGGUGCAUGUUGACUGGCACUUGAGAGAUAAUCUCAGCUUGAAUCCAACCUAGGACUCAGACAUGUCUGAAAAACCAACAGAUAGAUUUUCCAGACCCUGUUUGUAUUAACGAUGGAACCUCCCCCAGAGACCUCAUUCUAAGCAAAGGAGGAGCCACAGUUGAUGAAUGGGUAAGACGGAGCUCUUAAGAAUCAGGGUAUUUGAAGACAAGCCAAAUCCAUUUAGCAUUUACAGAGCUCAUGCUAUGAGAACCCUGCUAUG